rnacentral:tRNA from 1 species
AACAAUGUAGUUUAUAAAGAAUAUCGGGUUUGCGUCUCGAGGGAGGUGUACACUCUUUGUUA